CGACGAUUGCAUAUCAUCAUAUAUCACUAAAAAUGCCUUAGCUCCUAAUUGUUUUCUAAACAUUCCUUUAAUUCCUACUAUAGUUAAUCCUAAAUGCGUAAGUCCUAAAUUUUGUUUUAACAUUUUUUCUUCUGACUCUUUAUCAAUAAAUUCUAAACCAACAUUCUGAUGAGUUAGUGUCCUAGAAUCUUUUCUGUUGUUAUCUUGGAGCCUUUAUUAUAGUGGAAUCUGACGUGUCCUGUACGAUUGAAAUUUUUCGGUAUGGAUGAUGAAGAUUUUUUUUUUUUUAAUAAGUGUGAAGCAUGUUUUUAAGAAGCAUGUAUUAAAUGUAUUGAGAAAACAUACAAUAUCAUAUUAAGACUCGCUAUUAAUACUUAUAUGAAAAUAAGUUACAAUAUACGACUGCUAUAAAACAGAU
rnacentral:lncRNA from 1 species